rnacentral:rRNA from 1 species
AUAAUUUGGCUCUUAAUUAGAGUCUAGAAUGAAUGGUUGAAUGAGACAUAAGCUUUUUUUUAUUAAAAUUUUAAUUUAACUUUAAAGUGAAAAGGCUUUAAUAGUCUAAAAAGAAGAGAAGACCCCUAGAGUUUAAUUAUUAAUAAGAGAGGUAGUCAUUUAAUUGGGAUAAUGGUGACUAGAUUUAUAUAAUUUAGCUGGGGCGGUUUUUAAGUAUUAUUAACCUUAAAUAAUAUAAACUUAGGAAGAAUUCAGUGAUCCGCUUAAAAGUGAGUGGGAGUAAAAUUACCUUGGGGAUAACAGCGUAAUCUUCCUGGAGAGUUCUUAUCGAUAGGGGGGU